UGGGGCAUAGCCAAGCGGUAAGGCAACGAGUUUUGGUCCCGUUACUUGGAGGUUCGAAUCCUUUCGUCCUAG
rnacentral:tRNA from 1 species